UACGAAGGGUGCAAGCGUUAUUCGGAUUUAUUGGGUGUAAAGGGUGCGUAGACGGCAUAUUAAGUCCGCUGUUAAAUUUCCCAGCUUAACUGGGAGCCAGCGGUGGAUACUGAUGUGCUAGAGGAUGGAAGAGAGAAGUGGAAUUCCCGGAGUAGCGGUAAAAUGCGUAGAUCUCGGGAGGAACACCAAUGGCGAAGGCAGCUUCUUGGUCCAUAUCUGACGUUGAGGCACGAAAGCGUGGGGAGCAAACAGG
rnacentral:rRNA from 1 species